rnacentral:lncRNA from 1 species
CUCAAGUAAAGAUUGUGAUUCUACUGCCUCUCCUGCUCCCAAUUCCCUGUCAGAAUAAUCUGUCUGCUUCAGAAAUAAUUAAUUGUUGUGGGUCAAUCAAGCUGCAAGUAGUAAAUUCAUGGAGCUAAAUCUACUCAACCAACACAUGCAUCAUCAUGUGUCAUGCACAUCAAGGCUGCCACAGCUAGAGACAGGAGAAUUCCAUCCAGAUUUGUGGGCAACAACCAAGACCCAAAAGUUCUUCAUCCCCAUUAGCUGUCUCCACAGACAAGGAUUAAUACCUCUCCAUCAGCUCCUCCAUGACCAGUUCUUCUACUCCUCCUUUGAUCCACUGUUCUGACAGUCCUCGAACACAUGGAUUGUUCAACCACAACCUGCACCAGUUUUGUUCUUCCCUCGCCUGACAACGCUGCCUCUUCAAAGAGAUCCAAAUACUGGAGGUGAUGCCCGAGUGUUUGACCUAGACAUCUGUGUUCGGUCAAACCACAACAACAAAACCGAGCAAAAAAGAAAUCAUUCCACUGUAAUGUGCCAAACAACAACAACAACAAGAAGAACAUGCGAGUCCUCAUCAUGAUGUAGAAAACUCGCGGCCAUUGACUUCUCCGUGACCGACGCCGUGGGCUCAGACUUGAGAGGCGAGGAAACGCCAAACAGUUCACGGUGACGGACGCCGACAGCUCAACCGCGUUCGGUGGGCAGCAGCGCUGCCGGGAGAAGGUGGUCGCCGGUGGGGCACAGCUUUCAUGUGAAGACGAAGCAACGCCAAACCCCACCGACCUCGCAUUGCAUUCAUUUUCU